GUGAACAAAAUCUAAGCAAACGUGCAUGUUUGCUUAUCAUUACCCAUCAUCGUGCCCCGGCAGAAUCGAGUCGCAGAUAAAGGUCACAGCUGUGGCUCAGGAGGUAGAGCGGUUGUCCCCUAACCGGCAGGUGGGCAGUAUGGUUCUCGUUCUCCGUGGUCCGUGUGUCCUUGGGCAAGACACUGAACCCCAAGUUGCCCCCGAUAGCCAGCAGCUUGUAGGGACAACGCCGCUGUCGUCGUGUGUAUGUGUGUGAGUUGGCACCGCAGAUGGCUACCUCGGUUCUGUACCAGAGGCAAAUUGCUUGUGUGUGUGUGUGUAUGUGUGUAACUUGUCCAAUAAAAGUGAGUAAAUUAAAAUUAACUUUGUUCACUUUGUGAAGAGUACAAUCUUCAUUAUUUUCCUGGAGUGUUGACAGAAGAAUAUAUUCAGUCUGUGAAACGUGAAUCUCUUGAACACUGGACAGAUGUGCAUUUGUGUCAAGAUUUGUCCUUUUGCCAAAUAGUCCGGUGUACUGUAUAGUUACUGUGGUGGAGCCACAACAAACUACUUCUACUGCCAGCAAAAAAAAAAAACA